UGGCUCAGUAGGUAGAGCAUCUGACUCUUGAUCUCAGGGUUGUGAGUUCAAGCCUCAU
rnacentral:tRNA from 1 species